rnacentral:lncRNA from 1 species
AAAUUUGUGAAGUAAAUGGUCAUAAUAAGUUAUAUUCAAAACUGAAGAAAUUGGGGACAACAAGCAUCGACCAUGGCUAGCCUCCAGCUCAAGACUGGCUUGACUUCCUCAUUGACCACAACAAGGCCGGUUGCACCCAAAGGCCUUUCUGGUUCACCUCUUAGGCUCUUCCCUUCUUCCCAGAGGUCUUCCUCCACUAUCAAGGCAGUAAAAACCGACAAGGUCGUUUCUUCUUUUCAUUUUUCUGUGAUUUUUAAGAUUUUAUUUAAUAGGGCAAUUUACUGAAUGCCCAUGUUGGGGAUCCACGAUCUGCUCAGUGCUCAUCAAUCGAGCUAGAUUGAUUUCAAAUGCUUUAGUUGGUGGUAUUUGCCUUAUAUGAUGAUUUCCUGAAGGUUAUGCCUUUAAAUUUUACUUUUCAUGUUGUCGGUUUAUUGAGAAUUAGUAACUAAUUUCAAGAUUUAUCGUAGUAUUGUAAGGAAAAGCUGAUUUUAAUUUAUUCAAAUGCUUCAUACUUUUCCUUAAGAUAAUGCAUAUGUUCUAGUUGUUUUACUAGAAAUAUGAUGCUCACGAUUGAGCCAUUGCCCAUUGUUGAAGGUUAUAAUGGUCUUUUUUUUUUCUUUAUAGAUAUGAGAAAGUACCAUAGUAAAAACUUAGAACUAGUUAUGGUUUUCAUGUCAUAGAGGCUUGUGGAUCCUUUCGGUUACAUCACAUGUAUUAAUUAUGUCGGGCAUAACCACGUAUUUUUUCUAGUUCUAUUUGUAUUUUCUGUUUGCUAAUACGAUAAAACUAUGCAGCCUACAUUCCAAGUCGUCCAACCCAUCAAUGGUGACCCGUUCAUUGGAAGUCUCGAGACUCCAGUGACAUCGAGCCCACUAAUUGCAUGGUACCUUUCAAAUCUUCCAGGAUACCGGACCGCUGUGAACCCAUUGCUCCGAGGCAUUGAGGUCGGGCUAGCCCAUGGGUUCUUCCUAGUGGGCCCAUUUGUGAAAGCAGGCCCAUUAAGGAACACAGAGUAUGCAGGUGCAGCAGGAUCACUAGCCGCGGGUGGGCUUGUGGUGAUCCUUAGCAUUUGCUUGACUAUGUAUGGAAUCGCAUCAUUCAAAGAAGGUGAACCGUCGAUUGCACCAUCAUUGACUUUGACCGGGAGGAAGAAACAACCUGACCAACUUCAAACAGCCGAUGGUUGGGCUAAGUUCACUGGUGGAUUCUUUUUUGGUGGGAUCUCCGGUGUCACUUGGGCUUUUUUCCUUCUUUAUGUUCUUGACCUUCCUUACUAUGUUAAAUAGGUGAAAUCCUAUUUGGGCUUUUUCAAAUUCCUAUUGAUACAUGAUCGCUCAAAUUAUGAUACACUUUGCUUGUGCUUAUGGAAGAUUGUAAAAUACUUUAUGGUUUAAUUAUUAUAAAAACAAACAAACUGAUAAUCAAUUAUGUCUCAGUGAUAUGAUUUUAUUGACAAAUAUACCUUUCAAAAAGAAAUUCAAAAUCUAUUGAGCAGAUUGUUAUAUACUUGGAACAUGCUAAAAUGAACUACAAAUUAUUAUCAAACUCGUAAUGUUUUUGUUCAAAAUCGACCUUCAAGUAUUUAGUAUGACUUGUUCAAACUUGAAAUGAAAAAAAAAAUGUUUAUGGCUUUAUGUUGUCCUCUGUAGUACCUUGGUUUUGGUAUAUUGAAUGUCCAAAACGGUCAUCAUACAAAUGAUAAAUUAAUCACUAAAAUAUUGAAUGGUGGUUUAAAUGGUGAUGUGAACUCAACCCACAUAAGAAGAAGAAACAUGAAAAGAGAGUUGGUUUAUAUAUGGAGUCAAUCCAUGUAGUUGUAAUUAAGCUUGAUUAAAUGUAUAUGUAGUUGUAUCCAUAGAAGUUUAUAUCAUUUCAUCGAAAUAUUGUAUGCUUCGAUUUUUUACAUUUCAUAUGAUAUUAAACAUUUUUUUUUCUGAUAUAUAACCAAAAAAGUUUCAAAAAUAUGAUUAUUAGUCUUUGACAAGAAGAUUGAACUGUCAAAUUUUAUAUAAAAACAAACAAUAACAAAAGGCCGUGUCCUAUAAAAGAAUAGUUGAGCUUGGUAAAACGAUUUUCUAUAACUAAAAUCCAUCCAAACAAUAUAAAAAAAAUAAAAAACAGUAUUACUGAUCUUAAUUAGUGGCGGAGAACCUCAACCGUCAACAAAUGAGGCAAACCAGAACUGUCGUAUUAAGGCAAAACAGAACUGUCGUAUUUAGGUCAAAAGUCAAAACCAAGGUAAUUAUAAUUUCUUACUCAGUCACCGGGCGCAAAAAUGUAAAAGCUCCAUCCCACAUCGGCGCAAAGUACCAUUGUAAUUGACUAUAUAUUAGCUGCGGAGGGAUGAAAGAGCACGACCCUACUUGAACAGGAUCUGUUCUACAGGCUUGUACCUCUUUAUUUUUUAUUCCUAAAAAGACAAAAACACAUUUUGAGACGCAAAGCAACUGUUUGAUGAAAUGCCUAAAAGACGCUCCUACUAAUUAAUUAUUGCUAGACAACCAAAACUUUCUUUAAUUAGUUGCUCUAAAAUUAAAACCUCAAGUUUAUUUUCUUGUUUCAUUUGACAAUAUCUAAUUAAGAUCUAAUAUGUAAUGGUGGCCUUUAGCUUGUGACUCUCUUUUGGUCCUUUUGUUCCUGACAAAGUCUUCCAAAGGUCUUGUCCCACAUCGUAUUAGCAGAUGAAGGCAAAUUGGCUGAUGCAAAUCAAGUGCUCGAUGAAUUGCGUGAUGGAGAUUAUGUUUCGUCUUGGGUCAGGUAUAACUCAUCUUAAUUUGAUCUCCUACUACUUUUCACCCAGAUGAGUGGGUUCUUCUUCGGUUCAGUCAAAAGAUUGCUUCUCACAUUUCAGAAAGAAACUGAUAGAAAAUCUUGUUGAAGGAUGCAUGUCUAGUUGACAUUUUGAUUUAUUUAUAUAUUUGAUUACAUUCUUAAUGAUCUUUACGUUUUGAUCAUAUAUGAUCACCUUGACUGCUUAUACUUAAAUUCACCAAAGAAAUUUCCAGGUAGUUGUGAUAUUUGAAUUCUUCUUGAUAAGACUGAUUACCCUUCUUCUUCAUCCACUAGAAUAUUGCACACCUUUCCCUGUUGUAAUUAUUUAAAUUAAGGAGAUAUAAUAUUUAAACAGAGAAAUCUUUUGUUUAAACACUUGAAUGAUGUAUGCGUGGGGAAGUAUAUUGAGUCAACUGAUUGGCUGAAGCUCUUGUUAUGAUUUUAAUCAAUAAAAAGAGUGAAUAACAUACAAGAUGAAUAGAAUAUAGAGAAAAGAGCAAAGCUUAAUUUUCAUAUUUGCAGCAGCAACAUGAGCAUUUUUUACCAUUCAAUAAUGAAGAUAAGUAGCAGGGAGAGAACACACCUUUCAUCUUUAAUGUUGAUGUUGCUCUGCUUGCAGAUAUAUACAAAAGCUCAAGAAGAUUUAGCCUACAAGGAGAUCCCAGUGGGAGUGAUUCUAGAUAUGGGAUCAUCAUAUCCAUAUUCAUAUUCAUAUUCAUAUUCUGGGGUUGGAAAGGCUGUUCAUAGCUGCAUCACCAUGGCAGUGUCUGAGUUUUACAUGGUCAAUCCUCACUUCCAAACAAGGAUAAUUCUUCACCACAGGGAUACCCAUGGAGACCCACUGCAUGCUCUCUCUGCUGGUAAGUCUUACCAUUUAGAUAGCUAUUUCAGACUUCAUUUGGAAUGCAUCAUGUAACAAGAUAUAAAAAGUAAACACCAAAAAGCAUACAACACAUGAAAGGCGUGUACUUGUCAUACAAAUUUGUCAUUCGUGUCUUUCACAACAUGUUUAAUUUCAAUGAAGAUGUUUUCUUUGGAUAUUUUUUCAUUGUUUUAAUUCAUUUGUUUAUGAUUGUCUUUUUUGACCAUCAGCUCUUGAUCUUUUGGAGAAGCCGAAAGUGCAAGCAAUCAUAGGUUCAGAGUCAACAGCUGAAGCAAAGUUCCUGGCGGUUUUGGGAGACAAAGCUAGAGUGCCUAUUCUUUCACUUUCACCAUGUCUCUCUUGCAACAAGCAUCCUUAUUUCCUUCAAGUUACACAAGAUGAAAAUGAAACCACUCAAUUUAAAGGGAUUGCUGCAAUGGCUGAAUCCUUUAGAUGGAAGGAAGUUAUCCUUAUCUGUGAGGAUAGUGAUAGUGGAAGAGAUAUGACAAAUACUCUCCAAACAAAGAGCAUACUGGUAACACAUAGGAGCCUAAUUUCAACCUCUUGGAGCAAUGAACUACUCCAGGAAGAGCUUCACAGGCUUUCAACCGUGCAAACAAAAAUAUUUAUCAUGCAUGCUUCCCCUUCUGUUGCAUCCCACCUUUUGGUGAAUGCAAAGCAUCUAGGAAUGAUGGAUGAAGGAUACAAAUGGAUUAUCACCGGUAAGACUAUGAAGUUUCUGAAUUUGCUGGACGAUGAAGUUAUUGAGUCUAUGCAAGGGGCAGUGGGUUUUAAAUCAUAUGUUCCACGAUCAAGAGAUCUUCACAAUUUCACUUCCAGAUGGAGAAGGAAAUACCAUGUGAUGGUGAAGCUCCAGGAGAUAAACAGUUAUGCUCUUUGGGUGUACGAUGCAGUUUCAGCUCUAGCAAUGGCUGUAGAGCAAGUUGAACAACUGAAGAGAAAAGAUGUGGAUACAACUGCAAGUGAGUUGACUCAAAGCCAAAGGGGUACAACACUUCUGCUGAAUGAGAUGUUAAGCAUCUCAUUUCAUGGUUUAGGUGGUGCUUUCCAACUUAGGAAUGGGAAGAUUAAUGCUGCACAAGUCAUGGAAAUAGUAAAUGUGAUAGAUAAAGGUGAAAAGAGGGUUGGAUUUUGGACACUGGAUGCUGGUUUCACCAAAAAUAUUGGUAGUUUGAAUAAUUCAGUUUCUGAUGAGGGUCUGGAAGCCAUCAUCUGGCCUAAAGGUGGUAUCACAACUUAUCCAACACACAGGAUGCUACAAGUGAGUAGCAAAAUCCUCAGAAUUGCCAUUCCACCAAAAUUUGGAGUGGGGAGAGUUUUUCAAGUGAAAUACGAUGCUGAAACUAAUUCCACAGUCAUUUCAGGGUUUUGUGCAGACGUAUUCCGAGCUGCAUUCAAAGGAUUAGGUCGCGACAUAUCCUUUCAGUUCAUCCCAUUUACGGGAGAAGAUAGAAUAGUAAAUUACAACGAGCUUAUAUAUGGAGUCUAUACUGGGGUAUGCAUCUUUUUGAACCCAGUAUUCUUUGUUCGAUGCAUCGGAAAAAAAUAUUAUAAUCUGUUUUAUUUACACCAGGAAUUUGAUGCUGCAGUUGGAGAUAUAACAAUCACGGCUAACAGAACUCUAUAUGUUGACUUCACACUGCCAUAUACCGAUCUUGGUGUUGGAACCCUGUCUCGAAAUGCUCAUGCAGGCAUAUGGAUCUUUAUGGAACCACUGAGUUCAGAUCUGUGGCUUGUAUCUGCUUCUUUCUUUAUAUUACUCGGUUUUGUCAUUUGGAUUCUUGAACAUCAGACGAAUAAAGAGUUUCAAGGUUCAUCAUCACAACAGAUUGGAACAACAUUAUGGUUUGCCUUUUCGACCCUUGUUUUUGCCCAUAGUAAGCUCUCACUCACAUCCCGUUUUAGUUUUUUACACUGUUGUCUAAGAGACUUUUGUAUUUCAUAUAUACGGAGCAUGAGAUAAAAGACACAAUACAGCUGGGAGACUUUUGUUUUUUCGAAUCUUGGUAAACUAAACUUGAAUUGGACAAAAGAGUCAAAACUUAAGGUGGUGGUUCAAAAAUUGCAGGGCAGAAGCUGCAGAGUAAUUUGUCAAGAUUUGUAGUAAGUGUGUGGUUGUUUGUAGUGCUGGUACUUGCUUCAAGCUACACAGCAACCUUGAGUUCACUGUUCACCAUUGAACAAAUUCGGUUAGCCUCAAAGGGAGACUUAAUUGGAUACCGAGAUGGUUCCUUUGUGCAGGGAGAUAUUGUUAGGAACUUGAAUUUUAAAGACACCAGGUUGAAGCCAUAUUAUACAUCAGAGGAAUAUGCUGAUGCUUUAUCACGUGGAAGCAAGAAUGGUGGUGUUGAUGCAAUUAUUGAUGAAAUUCCAUACCUGAAGGGAUUCCUAGCUCAGUAUCCAUCUGGCUACUCCAUGGUUGUGUCUGAAGUCACCACUAGUGGUUUUGGCUUUGUGAGUGUCCUCUCCUCACUACACUUACUAGUUACUAGUUAUACCAUUUAUUGAAGUUUGUAGAUCAUGAACAACUCUAUAUGUAAUAAUUCAUCAUGUGCAGGCAUUCCCGUUAGGUUCACCCUUGGUCCCUGAGUUAUCAAGACAGAUUUCCAGACUACGAGAAAAUGGGAGCUUAGCAAAGUUGGAGAAGAAAUGGUUUAAAUCAGAUCCACACUCAAAGGACUCUGAGCCUGCUUUAAAGAUUCUAAACCUGAAAACGUGUCGUGGUCUAUUUCUUAUUAGUGGAGUCUCAAUGGCUGUGGCCCUUUCCAUAUUCUUGUUUUAUUUUAUUCAUGAGAAACUGCAUUUCACAUACACAAUGCUGGCUGGAGGAAAACUUGCAUUCAUAAUGAGGAUUCUCAACCCUAAACCGGUGGUUGAACUUGAAAGAAGAUGAUCCCAACCAAACAACAACUACAACUAUGCCAUUCAUCUUGUCUAUGUUUAUUCCUUUCUAGUUUCUAGGCUCAGGCAUAUGAAGAUUCAUUAGUAAAGUUGAUUAUCUCUCCAAUUUCUCCAUUUAGUCGUGUACUUUUUUUUAAUCAAUGGUAGCAAUGUGAGGUAUGACAAAACAAUGUUGAAUGUUAAGAUUCUGCUUCUUUAACGUCUUGUUGAUCAUGUUUCAAACAUUCCUUUCUAUACUUGUUUUUUUAGAUGUAGUCAAUUAUGAGGUUCAAAAACUGUCACUUCAUUUUUAGAUUUGCAAUUGUUUGUAUUCAACCUCCACCCUUUCUACAACUGGAUCACAACAGUUGGAAAAAUCCUUUAGUUACAAUAUCCGUUAUUGCAUUAUGAAAGCUGAUUUCACUUGCAUAAUCAGAUGCAGUGGAGUUGAAAGUAGAAGAUGCAUGGUAACUUUUACACAUAGUCUUUUUCCCUUGUGGCUUUACAAUCCUUUUUGAAUGUUUCUGCUGUGUAUUUGUUUUCAAUCACUUCAUUUCUGCCCUGCUCUGCUUAAGGCUGUAAAAACAAUGAAGAAAGGGGACAUGAACAUGGCUCAAGACUCAAGAGAAGAUCAACGCUGCUGGAAAAAAAAAAGAAGGAAGUGGGUAAUGUGUUCUUUAAAGCCGGUAAAUAAUAUGAGAAGGUAAUUAGACUCUGGUUGACUAGUCAUAAGUCAAGAACUAAUUAAGUUGUACUAAUGCAAAACUAGUGUAUGACUAAAUCUAGUUUCUAUUUUUGACCUUUCCAGGCUGCUAAUUAAGUUCAUUGAGUAUGUCACUAAUUUUGAAGAAGAAGAAAAGCAUUGAAGGUUACCUGUAACCUUCAUAAUGCAGCUUGCCGUUGACAGUUUGUUGUUUCUAAAUUUAUAUGCUGUUUAAAAGUUGUUAAUAAGUGGUGGGAAACCAUGAUUGAGACAGGUGUGGGAACUUGACACUAAGUAUUUAACUAAUGCUUUGAUUGGGUAGUGGCAGUAUGAUAUCCAUGAAUAUUGCUUUUGAUCAUGGACCCCACCUUCUCAAUUACAUCACAUUUACUAACUAGUUUGGGCUUGGGUCCCACACCCCGUUUGGGCGUUGACUUUGAUGGGGAGGAAGAAGCAACCUGACCAACUUCAAACAACCCAUGGUUGACUUGGGCCUAUUUCCUUCUUUAUGUUCUUGACCUUCCUUACUAUGGUAAGUAGGUGAAGUCAUUAUUUGGGCCUUUUUAAAUUCACCAUUCUAGUUAAUUAUGAUAUACUUUGUUCGUGCCAUGGAAAUUUGUAAUAAGUUUUAUUGUUUAAUUUCUGUAAAAACAAACAAAUUUAUAAUCACUUGUUUUGGUGUGACAUGCCAUAUAUAUUUUCGUUCAAAAUUGACAUUCAACUAUUAUAUCACAUAAUCAUCACAAGGUGAUACUUGGCGAAUUAGUUAUCCGGAUGUCUUAAUGUCAUGAAGGUCAACUGUGUAUAUCAAAACAAGCACUACCCUAUUUGUGGCCAACUUGUGUCCCUUAAUCCUUUUCAUCCAAUUAGAUCAUAUGCCCAACUUAACCUUAUUAUAUGGAUAUACUCUUUAUGCUUAGGACGCAAACAAUAUAAAAGCUACAUCCCAAGAAACUGUUUUAUGAAAUGCCUCAAGAAGAUUAUAACUCCUAAUGUUCUUGUUUUACUGGUGUUGAUCGAGGUUAGUGGCCAGUUUAGAGAUGCGAAGCAACUGUUCUAUGAAAUGCCUGGUAAAGAUUAUGACAAGAUAGAGAGUUUUUUUGGUUUGAUUUAGGUUUUAUCAAGUUUUAUUUGUUGUAACGAGCUAACAAAGACAAUAAUUCUACUAUGAUACUUGGAAUCGCAGUUUUUAUAACAAGCUAACAAAGACAAUGGUGCUGCUAUAUAUGAACUUGUACUCAUGCAUUAAGGAUUGUACAAAUAUUGCUCAUGAUUUGAGUAAGAUUUCUUCUUUGUGCCUAUGAAUUUGUUGGCUCAAGAGAAGAUUUCUCAUUUUGGCCAGGCCACUACAGUCCCC